GGGGAACGCGGAAAGGGAUCUCGCCGCAACGCACCAUGGAGCUCGCCGCAACCGGCGCUGCUGCCCUCCGGCGAUCGUUGGCGUCGGGGUAUCCGGUGGUUCCGAGGGAGAGGAGAAGGCGGAUGCCGGCCAGGGUGUCCUGCGUCGGCCGCGGAGGCAGAGGCGUAGGCGGGGGAUUCGCCGACGAGGCGCACCUCAGGUACUACGAGGCGCCGCCGCGGAAGGCGGUGGAGGCGGCGGCGAGGGACCUUACCAAGCUCCGGGCCAUGGGCCUUGUCGCCGGCGACCCGGCCAAGGAGAAGAUCCUCUCGGAAGCCACUGAGCUGCUGCUAAAGGAGUUGAAUCAGAUGAAGGAUGCAGAGGACGAGCUGAAGAAGAAGGACGAGCUGAAGAAGAAGCAGAAAGAGGAGAAGGCUGCCAUGAAAGCACUGAAGAAGCAGCAGAAGGAAGCGAAGAAGGCUGCAAUGAACUGUGGAGAUGGCUCCUCUGAAUCAAGCGAGAGUGAGUGUGAGGAAGAGCAGUCCAUGAAAAUGAGUUGUGUUGCCACCACAUCGAUGCCUGCAAUUGAGCAAGGAAUGGCGAUGUCAAUGUCAGUGCCCCAAAUUGCUGCAUCCAACAUUGCAACAGCUCCGGCAAUGGAUUUUGACAAGGCUGCGAUGAAGGCCAUGAAGAAGAGGGAGAAGGAACAAAAGAAAGCUGCAAAGAAGGCCAUGAAGAUGAAAAAGGAGGAAGAGAAGAGGAUGGCCACACUGAAUUCCUGCAAGGAUGAGGACAGUUCAUGCUCAUCGGAGUCCAGCAACAGUGAGUGUGAAGGGGAAGUCGUCAGAAUGAGCCGCUGUGCCACCAUUUCUGUGCCUCGAACACCAUCUGCAAGCACAGUUUUCCCCAUCAUAGUGCCACAAAUCUCAGACUCCGUUGCACUGGAUGCUCAGAUCAUUUCUGGGUCUGCAAAUGCAAUGCAGCGCACUACCACCAGCAUUGCGGUUGUCGAAAAACCAGUGCUGAACAGAAUCGAGGUCUGCAUGGGUGGCAAAUGCAAGAAGGCGGGCUCGCUCGCCGUCCUGCAGGAGUUUGAGACGGUGGUUGGCACGGGCGGCUUGGUGGUCGGUUGCAAAUGCUUGGGGAAAUGCGGGCUAGGCCCAAAUGUGCGGCUUCGGAGUGAGGGCUCUGUACAGAAGAACAGUCCCAUCUGCAUUGGUGUAGGCUUGGAUGAUGUUGGCACCAUAGUGGCAGGCUUCAUCGGAGAUGACGAUCUGGGCAUGAACUGAUACGAUGGUUACCUGGACUCAGGAGCCGCGAGUUCGUCGGUUGCCGGUUCUUAGGUUUCUUUCAGUUGUGGUUCUGCCGCUCCUCUGCUUAUGCUUGGCGGCACGCUGGCGGCGUCCAACAACGCAUUUUUGAUGUUAUGUUGGCCUUGCUCAUCGUGUGGUGUCUUGUUUUUUAUUUGAUCAGUUUGUAUGAGGAUUUCCUUGGCACCUUGUAGCUUGUGCCAUUCGAUCUUAUGUGUUUAUUAUAAAGUGAGACCAAAGCCUGUUCCAAAAGAAAAUGAAAAUGAAAAUGCAUGCAACAUACUUUACGGCC
rnacentral:rRNA from 1 species